AUGAGUCUUGAUGUAUUGUUGAUGUUGAUGUGAUCCUGAGUAGUCGGUGGUGGCUCAAGAGUCGUGUCUAGGGCUCUGAUACGUGGGUUGGGAGUCAUUUUAUUAUUUCAUUGUUGUUUCCCUUCCAUGUAUCAAAUUUUGGAACUUGUUGAUGUGCCCUUUCAUUGGCUAACUUUUGUUGUUUAGGCUUAAUGCCAAGAUGUUGUUGGAGAUUAAAACAUUGUUGUUGCUAUUGAAAAUGCAAAACUUUCCGCUGCAUUAAUUGAAGUUAUGACUGUUGUUGAAUUAAAUAGUUUUAU
rnacentral:lncRNA from 1 species